GGAUCCAGACUUUGAUCAUGGCUCAGGAUGAACGCUAGCUACAGGCUUAACACAUGCAAGUCGAGGGGCAGCGGUAUCGAAAGCUUGCUUUCGGUAGCCGGCGACCGGCGCACGGGUGAGUAACGCGUAUCGAACCUGCCUCAUACUCGGGAAUAGCCUUGCGAAAGUAAGAUUAAUGCCCGGUGUUUUCAGAGUCCCGCAUGAGGCUUUGAACAAAGAUUUAUCGGUAUGAGAUGGCGAUGCGUCCCAUUAGCUUGUUGGCGGGGUAACGGCCCACCAAGGCAUCGAUGGGUAGGGGUUCUGAGAGGAAGGACCCCCACAUUGGAACUGAGACACGGUCCAAACUCCUACGGGAGGCAGCAGUGAGGAAUAUUGGUCAAUGGGCGGAAGCCUGAACCAGCCAAGUAGCGUGCAGGAAGACGGCCCUCCGGGUUGUAAACUGCUUUUAGUUGGGAAUAAAACGGGGCUCGUGAGCCCCCUUGCAUGUACCAUCAGAAAAAGGACCGGCUAAUUCCGUGCCAGCAGCCGCGGUAAUACGGAAGGUCCGGGCGUUAUCCGGAUUUAUUGGGUUUAAAGGGAGCGCAGGCGGACCUUUAAGUCAGCUGUGAAAUACGGCGGCUCAACCGUCGAACUGCAGUUGAUACUGGAGGUCUUGAGUGCACACAGGGAUGCUGGAAUUCAUGGUGUAGCGGUGAAAUGCUCAGAUAUCAUGAAGAACUCCGAUCGCGAAGGCAGGCAUCCGGGGUGCAACUGACGCUGAGGCUCGAAAGUGCGGGUAUCAAACAGGAUUAGAUACCCUGGUAGUCCGCACAGUAAACGAUGAAUACUCGCGGUUUGCGAUACAAUGUAAGCCGCCAAGCGAAAGCGUUAAGUAUUCCACCUGGGGAGUACGCCGGCAACGGUGCAACUCAAAUGAAUUGACGG
rnacentral:rRNA from 1 species